rnacentral:rRNA from 1 species
CUCAGGNAGGGGUAACCCUUCUGAGGGGAGAGCGGCGAACGGGUGAGUAACACGUGGGCAACCUGCCCCGGACACCGGGAUAACCCAGGGAAACCUGAGCUAAUACCGGAUACUCCGGCGCGAUCGCAUGGUCGCGCCGGGAAAGCUCCGACGGUCCGGGAUGGGCCCGCGGCCUAUCAGCUUGUUGGUGGGGUAACGGCCCACCAAGGCGACGACGGGUAGCUGGUCUGAGAGGACGGCCAGCCACACUGGGACUGAGACACGGCCCAGACUCCUACGGGAGGCAGCAGUGGGGGAUCUUGCGCUAAUGCGCGAAAGCGUGACGCAGCGACGCCGCGUGGGGGAUGAAGGCCUUCGGGUUGUAAACCCCUUUCGGCAGGGACGAAGGGAAACUGACGGUACCUGCAGAAGAAGUCCCGGCUAACUACGUGCCAGCAGCCGCGGUAACACGUAGGGGACGAGCGUUGUCCGGAUUCAUUGGGCGUAAAGCGCGCGUAGGCGGCUCGGAAAGUCGGGCGUGAAAUGCCGGGGCUCAACCCCGGGACUGCGUCCGAUACUUCCGAGCUGGAGGUAGGUAGGGGAGAUCGGAAUUCCUGGUGUAGCGGUGAAAUGCGCAGAUAUCAGGAGGAACACCGGUGGCGAAGGCGGAUCUCUGGGCCUUACCUGACGCUGAGGCGC